CCUACGGGAGGCAGCAGUGGGGAAUCUUGCGCAAUGGGCGAAAGCCUGACGCAGCAACGCCGCGUGCGGGAAGAAGGCUUUCGGGCUGUAAACCGCUUUCAGCAGGAACGAAAAUGACGGUACCUGCAGAAGAAGGAGCGGCCAACUAUGUGCCAGCAGCCGCGGUGAUACAUAGGCUUCAAGCGUUGUCCGGAUUUAUUGGGCGUAAAGAGUUCGUAGGCGGUCGAGUAAGUCGGGUGUGAAAAUUCUGGGCUCAACCCAGAGACGCCACCCGAUACUGCUUAACUUGAGUUCGAUAGGGGAGUGGGGAAUUCCUAGUGUAGCGGUGAAAUGCGCAGAUAUUAGGAGGAACACCGGUGGCGAAGGCGCCACUCUGGAUCGAUACUGACGCUGAGGAACGAAAGCAUGGGUAGCAAACAGGAUUAGAUACCCUGGUAGUCCAUGCCGUAAACGGUGGGCACUAGGUGUGGGUAGUUCUAUUAACGUAACUACCGUCGCCGUCGUCGUACGCAUUAGUGCCCGCCGUCGGGUAGGUACGGUCGCGACGAACGUAAACCUACAAACUAGAAGUUAGACGGCGUGAGACGUCGCCGACGGACGACCGACGAGGGAGGUAGG
rnacentral:rRNA from 1 species